AAUCAGUUUUGUUAAAUAUGAAUGUGUGGUAUUUAAUAUGGACUUUAAUGUAUUAAACUUGAUGGUGCCUGGUUUUGAUAAAUGUUUUUAAUCUGUUAAAUUAAUACGUAAGCAAACUUCUCACUCCUUAAUGAGUGAAAAUUCCUAUUUUCCAGGGACUGUCAGUUCUGGAAACUUUUCUAAAUUGGAGCGAUGACCGUUUUAGAGACCUGCUUCUAUAAAAGGAAGUUUAAUUCGAUGUGACGGCUUGGUUCUGAACGCUGCAAUACUGAGGUUUGGUAACUAUUCUUGACUUUUAACUCUGGCCAUGAAGGAUCAUUCUUCAGGAUUUCUACUACUUGGAAUUUGUGACAAAUUAUAAAGGCUCGCUGAUGGAGAUUUGGUUGGGCAUCUUGCAACUGAUCUACUAACUUAAGUUUCUGUCAUUCAGAGGUUAAUUUUCUAAAGUGUAGCGUUUGGGAAUUUUAGUUACGUACUUGCACUUAACGCUACAACUUUAGUCAUAGAUUACUGUACCAAAAUUUUUUCUUUACAAACUUUUUUUUUAAUAAACCAGUAUUACUCUUAUUGCUUAGCAUCGUUUAAGUGUAGUAUUUUAAGUGUCUUUUACGAGGUCUCUUACAAAUUUUGAUUAUCUUGGUUCUCAUAGAAAAUACUCUCAUA